rnacentral:rRNA from 1 species
UCUACGGGGGGCAGCAGUGAGGAAUAUUGGUCAAUGGGCUUACGCCUGAACCAGCCAAGUCGCGUGAGGGAAGACUGCCCUAUGGGUUGUAAACCUCUUUUGUCAGGGAGCAACGCCGGCUACGUGUAGCCUGCCUGAGAGUACCUGAAGAAAAAGCAUCGGCUAACUCCGUGCCAGCAGCCGCGGUAAUACGGAGGAUGCGAGCGUUAUCCGGAUUUAUUGGGUUUAAAGGGUGCGUGGGCGGAAUGCCAAGUCAGCGGUAAAAUCGCGGGGCUCAACCUCGCUCCGUCGUUGAACCCGGCGUUCGUGAGUGGGCGAGAAGUAUGCGGAAUGCGUGGUGUAGCGGUGAAAUGCAUAGAUAUCACGCAGAACUCCGAUUGCGAAGGCAGCAUACCGGCGCCCAACUGACGCUGAAGCACGAAAGCGUGGGUAUCGAACAGGAUUAGAUACCCGAGUAGUC